AUUGAACGCUGGCGGCAGGCCUAAUACAUGCAAGUCGAACGAGUGGCGGACGGGUGAGUAAUGUCUGGGAAACUGCCCGAUGGAGGGGGAUAACUACUGGAACCGGUAGCUAAUACCGCAUACCAUCGGAUGUGCCCAGUUGGGAUUAUCUAGUAGGUGGGGUAACGGCUCACCUAGGCGACGAUCCCUAGCUGGUAUGAGAGGUUGAUCAGCCACACUGGGACUGAGACACGGUACAGACUCCUACGGGAGGCAGCAGUAGGGAAUAUUGCACAAGGGACGAAAGCCUGAUAGAGCCAUGCCGCGUGUAUGAAGAAGGCCUUCGGAUGGUAAAAUGCUUUCAGCGAGGAAGCGUUACUCGCAGAGAAAGCACCGGCUAACUCCGUGCCAGCAGCCGCGGUAAUAC
rnacentral:rRNA from 1 species